ACUCCUACGGGAGGCAGCAGUGGGGAAUAUUGGGCAAUGGGGGAAACCCUGACCCAGCAACGCCGCGUGAAGGAAGAAGGCCUUCGGGUUGUAAACUUCUUUGAUCAGGGAAGAAACAAAUGACGGUACCUGAAAAACAAGCCACGGCUAACUACGUGCCAGCAGCCGCGGUAAUACGUAGGUGGCAAGCGUUAUCCGGAUUUACUGGGUGUAAAGGGCGUGUAGGCGGUCUCAUAAGUCAGAUGUGAAAUUCCCGGGCUUAACCCGGGCGCUGCAUCUGAAACUGUGGGACUUGAGUACUGGAGAGGAUAGUGGAAUUCCUAGUGUAGCGGUAAAAUGCGUAAAUAUUAGGAGGAACACCGGUGGCGAAGGCGACUAUCUGGACAGUAACUGACGCUGAGGCGCGAAAGUGUGGGGAGCAAACAGGAUUAGAUACCCUGGUAGUC
rnacentral:rRNA from 1 species